GGAAGAGUCGUUACUGGCAGAACAAGAUAUCUACUAAAUAUUGUGUGAAAACACCUGGGCGUUCGAUUCGUCUCUCUUCCG